ACGGGGGUUGCGAGCGUUGUCCGGAAUUACUAGGCGUAAAGGGCAGGUAGGCGGAUCGAUAAGUUUAAUGUUUAAGGCAACGGCUCACCCGUUGUACGGCAUUAGAUACUGUCGAUCUGGAAUGCGGUUGGGGAAGACAGAAUUCCUGGUGUAGCGGUGAAAUGCGUAGAUAUCAGGAGGAAUGCCGAAGGCGAAGGCAGUCUUCCAAGCCGUUAUUGACGCUAAACUGCGAAGGUGUGGGUAUCAAACAG
rnacentral:rRNA from 1 species